UCNGUGCCAUAUUGACUUUGUAGCGUUGA
rnacentral:piRNA from 1 species